rnacentral:rRNA from 1 species
UCCAGACUCCUACGGGAGGCAGCGGUGGGGAAUAUUGGGCAAUGGGCGCAAGCCUGACCCAGCAACGCCGCGUGAAGGAAGAAGGCUUUCGGGUUGUAAACUUCUUUUAAGAGGGAAGAGUAGAAGACGGUACCUCUUGAAUAAGCCACGGCUAACUACGUGCCAGCAGCCGCGGUAAUACGUAGGUGGCAAGCGUUGUCCGGAUUUACUGGGUGUAGAGGGGGCGCAGACGGCGAUGCAAGCCAGGAGUGAAAGCCCGGGGCCCAACCCCGGGACUGCUCUUGGAACUGCGUGGCUGGAGUGCAGGAGGGGCAGGCGGAAUUCCUGGUGUAGCGGUGAAAUGCGUAGAUAUCAGGAGGAACACCGGUGGCGAAGGCGGCCUGCUGGACUGCAACUGACGUUGAGGCCCGAAAGCGUGGGGAGCAAACAGGAUUAGAUACCCGAGUA